UGUGAGAUCAUGCUCUGUGCUGUGUGUGCAUGCAGGUCAUGUGUGCUCUGAAAACAAGCUUAAUGUUGUCACAAUAACACAGACUCAUCCACAUGCAGGUCAUCAGGUAGAGGAGUCACUCUGUGUGAGUCUUUGUUCUUUUUAUGGUUUGACUUCACCAGCUUAUCAAACGAACAACAGCAGCUGUCGCCGCUCAGUCUGAUGCAGUCAGAGCUAAAGUCAUGUUAUUAUCUUGACUCCAGGUCGUUUUUCUUCUUUGUGAAACAUGAAACAGCACAAAGUGAGCAAACAGGAGCACUGAGAUAACGAGGACAGGAACCAAGUGCAGGGUUGGAUCUGAACAUGAUAACAGUGGAUCCUUCUUCCUCUUUGGCAGAGUUCACAUGAAUUUGAAUGCAUGAACAUGUGUCAGGAUGAAAGCACCUGUAGUUUCCCAGCACAGUAACAUCCACCAUCACAGCGUCACUGAGAUCCUCUGGGUCUCCUUUACAAAGUUCCCCAUAAUGAUAACUCUCGUGUUUUCUUCAGCUUGCGGAGUUUUCCCAUUAUAGCGUGAGUAGGAGUCAGCAGGAGGAGGAGGAGUCUGCCAGCUGAAGCUUGUUUGCAGACUCUCGGUGCGUUUUGGACUAAGCCCGUGCUUUUAUGGGUCAGAGUUAGUUCCAGUCUGAAUUCUAGGUAUUUAUGAUAUUUUUUCCUCUCGUUUUUUAAAAAGUGUUUCUUUGACGGACAGCUUGUGAGGAGACACAGCAGCAGGGAUAUUUGGUCAUGACCGUCUCCGUUUAACUCUGCGAUGGAGUCAAGUAUGAGAGUUAUUGUCCUUCUCGUUGUGAUGAGAUUUUCUGCUUCUGAGGAAGUGAAGAAGAACCUGACGGGCACUGUGGGAGGAAACAUCACUCUACCUGCACCUGUGCUGGAGAAAGGAUAUCUGUUAUAUGGAAGAACGAUUAUUGCUGAUGUGAUUAAGGGAGAAUUUCAAGUAUUUGUGGAAAAGUACAAGAACCGACUUCAGUGGGACAGAAACUCUGGACUCUUUACACUCACAGAGCUGCAGAGGAACGACUCAGGGAUUUAUACUGUCGACUCUAAAACAGGAAAAGUUUUCACAUCAUCAUAUAAGCUGACAGUGUACGACUCUGUACCGACUCCUGCAGUGAAGAAAGUGAGUGUGAGCUCUGAGAGCUGCUCCUUACUGUGUUUGGUGGACAGAGAGACCAAACUGCUGUGGUUUAAAGACGAGCAGAGACUGAACCAGAGCAGCUCUGCGCUCUCUCUGCCUCUCACUGUGCACAAACAGGACUUCAGCUCCUCUUACAGAUGUGUGGCUGCAAACCCUGCAGAGAAUAAAACUCUUCCUGUCCAUGUGAGAACGACCUGUGGAGACACCAACAACGACACCAACAGCUCGACUGAACCAAGAAGCUAUAACAUCCUCAUUAUAAUCUUCUGUGUCCUGUCGGUUGUGAUGAUCAUACUUGCUGCUUUUUUCAUCAAGUCAAAGUAUCUUCCCCGAAACAAAACAAAGACAAACGGACAGGCACAAGGCAGGUAUUUAUUUUCUCUUUUUAUUUUAUUUAUUCUAUUUACUUCUAACCUCUUUGGAGCUUGUAGGUCUAAACCUUCAGAUCCAGAUCACAUUAGACAAAAACACAUUUCAGCCCCGUCAGCUGUAACACGUCUGCGUUUGACCGACUUCAGUAGAGUCUUUGUCCUGUUAGUGGAACUAUGA
ensembl:lncRNA